UACGAAGGGGGCGAGCGUUGUUCGGAUUUACUGGGCGUAAAGGGCGCGCAGGCGGCCGCAUUUGUCAGGCGUGAAAGCCCCGGGCUUAACCUGGGAACUGCGUUUGUAACUGGCAAGCUGGAGUGUGGCAGAGGGGGGUGGAAUUCCAGGUGUAGCAGUGAAAUGCGUAGAGAUCUGGAGGAACACCGAUGGCGAAGGCAGCCCCCUGGGCUAACACUGACGCUCAUGCACGAAAGCGUGGGGAGCAAACAGG
rnacentral:rRNA from 1 species